GGUGUGAUAGUGUAAUGGUAUCACAACACGUUGUGGCCGUAAAAAGCCGUGUUAAUCUGAGUUCGAUCCUCAGUCACGCCA